UUAAAACACACCAAAACAGCUUAAAAAGGCUUAAAAACAGCAAGAAACAACAUUUGAAAUUAUGGGUGACAAAACCCUACGAAUUUGCAUCAAAACACUUUGGUUACCCCCCCACACUUAAACCAAACAUUGUCCUCAAUGUUUCAAGCAUAGACUCACACAAAAACACAUAAACAAACAAACCAACACUAACAAACUAAACAUGGCAGAAACGAAAGAAACAACAAAGAGAAGGGUUUAGAAACGCAAAUCUGGAAUUGGAGUGCUCUCUAGGUCUUCCUUUGUCAAAUGCAUGGGUUGCCUCCCACGAAGCGCUUGCUUUAACGUCUUCCAGCCGGACGGUACCUCCGUUUAAGCUUGACUAGGUUCCAUGGCAUGGAGGGGUACAUCCUCCAUGACAUGCUCCUUGAAAUACUCAUGCAUUGGGUCUAUGUAUGGCAGUGGAUAAUGAUGGUCCCAGAUUGUGGCAUUGCGCUUCCCAAGGUCAAAGUAAGAACUCCCAUAAUCAUGGAUUCGAUUUGGUACCUGCACUACAGAAGGCAAUAACCUAUUAGUGGAAACGGGAAUUGGAAUUAGAGGAGGAGGCUUACCAAUGCAUGUAGAUGAAGACUCAAAAGGGGCAGCAAAGGUGGUGCUCUCGCCAGAUUUGGUAUUUUGGGUGUAAUGACAUGUUUCGUAUGCUCCACUCCAAUACCCUCUUCGAUGAUGCAUCUAGGGACAUCCUUCUUGAUUGGUGCGCAUGAAUGUUCCUUCCCCACAUUUUUAAUCACAUCUAUUGCAAAACAAGAACGAACAUCAUUAGGAUUCUUAACAUAUUCAGGAACUUUGAAUUUAAUCAAUUCAUCACCAAAACUCCAUUGUUGACUCUCCCUUAGCCACAUCAAUCUUGGUUUGGGCUGUCUUCAUGAAGGGCCUCCCUAAUAGUAUCGGCAAUGGGGUAGAAUAGGGUGAAUCCUCCAUGUCAAGCACGUAAAAGUCCGCUGGAAAAAUCAAAUUGCCCACCUGCACCAAAACAUCUUCCAAAACACCCUUUGGAUAUGCAUUAGAACGAUCGGCUAAUUGAAUAAUCACACCAUCGUUUUUAAGCUCACCUAAGUUCAUAGAUGCAUAAAUAGAGUAUGGCAUAACAUUAAUCGAAGCCCCUAAGUCUAACAUGCAUUGUUCAAACUUAGUCUUGCCAAUAACGCACGGAAUUGUAAAACUACCCGGAUCUUUGCAUUUAGGGGGUAAUUUCCUUUGUAACAUGGCAGAAACAUUCUCACUUACUUGGACCACCUCUUUGUUCGAAAUCCUUCUCCUUGAUGUACAAAGUUCUUUUAAAAACUUAGCAUACCUCGGGACUUGCUUAAUUGCAUCAAGGAGCGGAAUAUUGACUUGAACUUUCCGAAAGGUCUCUAGAAUGUCCUUCUCGGCUUCUUCCUUCUUUGAUUGCCUAAACCUGCCAGGAAAGGGCACAUUUAAGUGGAAUGGAACUAGAAAAAAGUCGAAUUUGGACUUACCUUGGUGGUUUGGGACGGCUUAGGAGGGCUAGAUGGUGGCGGCAAAGGAUUGUUCAUCCUUGGCCGUGAGUUUUGGUCCAUGUGCUUCCUCUUGUAGCAACUUUUCAUCCUCAUCGUGACUUGAUUUGGAUGAUUUUGGUUCGGCUCCAACCUGUGUACCACUUCUCAACAUGAUUGCAUUGACGGUUUCAAAGCCUCCUUUAGGAUUCAUAAUAGUUGAACUAGGCAAUUUGCCUUGUUCUCUAAUCUGCCCCAUGAAUUCCGCUAUUUGCCCCACUUGCUUUUCCAAGUUAUCCACCCUUUUGUCUUGGAUUUGCUCUUCUUUGUUUUGAUUUUGUACUUCCUGCGUCAAAGUAGUAAGUAACUUAACAACUUGAUCAUUAUCCAAAGACAUACCUGAGUUUGUUGGGGCAGAUUGCACUUGGUUUUGAUUGGGGAUGAAUGGCUUUGUAUAAAAACCCGGUGGUUGCUGCCUAAAUCCUCCUUGUUGUUGGGGUUGUUGAGGAUCCCGCCAUUUGAAAUUUGGAUGGUCCCUCCACCCCGGAUUGUAGGAAUUAGAGUAUGGAUCGUUGGCGUGGUUGAUUUUGGUUCCCAAAACCCACGGCAUUGGCAGAUUCCCAACCCCCAUUCUCAAUCAACUGAGGGCAUUGAUCGUUGGCAUGUCCUUGCAUAGAGCACACGCCACACACUUGGUCCAUGAAUCUUCAUUCCCUCGGCCAACUGAGAAACAAUAGAAGUAAGGUUAGCUAAUUGGGAUUGAAUUUCGGGCAUAGAACUUACCUCAUUCACUUGUGGCCGUGGGGGUCUCUUUGUCCAACACCUUCGUAUUGUUGUGCAUUAUAUGCUCGGUUGGCAAUUAGAACUUUUGCAGCCCCCGGAGUUUUAUCCACCAACGCACCUCCCGCCGAGGCAUCAAGCAUUUGGCGUUCCAUGGGAAGGAGUCCUUCGUAGAAGUAUUGAAUGAGCAGCUCCUCCUUCAUUUGAUGCUGUGGACAAGAAGCAACAAGUGAUUUUAAAACGUUCAUAAUAAGAAGGAAACGAUUCACCUUGAUUUUGUUGGAUGCCACUAAUCCGUUUCCUCAAGAGAAUGACUCUUGAAGUUGGGAAAAACUUCUCCAAGAAAGCUCUUUUCAUACUAUCCCAAGAUGUAACUGUUCCGGGUGCUAACUCGUAAAGCCAAUCCUUCGCCUUUUCCAAAAGUGAGAAUGGAAAAGCCUUCAUCAUCAGAAUGUUCCCGUCGACAUUUAUGGGUGUCAUGCUCGAACAAACAACCUCGAACUCCUUGAGAUGCUUGUUGGGAUCUUCCAUGGAAAGCCCAUGGUAUUUCGGAAUGUGGUGCAACAAGCUUGACUUCAGCUCGAAUUCAUCGGUCUUGCCUUGGGCAGCCGCGGGGUAUUGAAUGCAUAAUGGUGCGGCAUUGGUCAACCCCGAGGCCGAAAGCUCUUUAAUGGUCCGAUUGUCCGCUGCCAUAACUUCUUCUUCCACUUCUUCAAACUCAGAUUCGGCCUCUGAACUUGAACUAGGUUCACUAGGUUCGGGAUGCCUCCUCUUUCUUCUCAAAUCACGUUCAAAAUCGUCGUUGAAAUCCAAGAUGUGUGCAUGCACAGUUUGAGAACUCCGCGUCAUGCACUAGUACCUAAACCAAGAAAACAAAACAAAAUCAGAAAACUAAGUAAAUUAUACUAAAACACACGGCAAAAACACAAGGGAUUAGCAAUUUUGCUAAUCCCCGGCAACGGCGCCAAAAUUUGAUGUGAAAAUUAACUUGACACACAAAUUAAACCCUAUGGAUGACAAUUGUAGUAUAUGAGCAAAUAGGGAUCGUUCUAAACCGGGGAUUAACUAGGGAUGCUAAUCAAUGUGAAACUGACUCAAGAACAUAAAAACAUAAUGUAGAACACUAAACUAGACUCAAUUAAUGCAAAACUAGAGUUUAAAACACCUACACUAACCAAAAACUCAAAACAGCAACAAAAAGACUCAAAACUGCCUUAUAACCACUUUCUGGGCAGUUUUGAGUACCUAACACUAAUUUGGACGAAAUUGGACUAAAACUUAACUUAAGACACUUAAAACACAAACUAAAUUGAUUUCUAACUAAUCUAACACUUUAAAAUAAAAGGGGGAUUGAUUUUGACGAAAUUAAAACUUUAAAAUUUAACUUUGAAAACAAAUGUAAAGCAAAACAGAUUGUGAUAAAAUAGAAUGAUGAGAAACUAGUUAGAGGGUUCCUUAUCCACACAUGCACAUAUGCAUACAACUCGAUUUCCAAUUACUCUUUCAACAAACCAUGAAUGACAAUGCCCCAAAUUAACUAGAUUGCACCAAUUAAUUCUCAGAUUUCCCUAGAUUCAUUGAAUUGAAUGGAAUACGCAUUACAACCAAAUUAUUCUUAUCAAGGACCCUAACUAUGGAAUACGCAUGAUAGAGACACAUAUCAAAGAUCAUUAAGUUCAAUGGAAAUCAUAAGCAUUGACGAGGCAUUCAUAACUAUAGGAUACGCAUGUUACUCUUGCCUAGGAUUUACUUAACGCAAUCGUGACUAGCGAUUUUUACUACUUAUGAAUAUAAGUUAAUAACGAUUAGGUGAAAUUCCCUUAUAUCCUAGCAUCAAGUUUAUGCAUGCAAAUUAAGUGUCGACCCUCAACCCACAUACAUAAACAAGUUAUCAAUCAAAUAGAUAAGUAAAUCACAUUCACAAUUUCUGAAAUCAUAAUUGGAAGAAAUCAAAUCAUAUAAAACAUAUGUCCAUGGCUUCAAAUUCACCUCUAACUAAAAAGAAAUUAGUUCCACAUGUCUAACAUAAUUGAAAAAGCAAUUUAAAUUAAACAUGAAAACAGAAACAAGAGAAGAAAAAACUCUUAAAACUCCCAAAGAUGCAGAUGGCUUGCGCACAAGGCCCUCAUUCAUCAAUGGAAUGCACGACAAGGCUCUCCUUCUUCUCCAAAAGGUGCGGCAGAGAUGUGUAUGGAUUGUAGGAUGGGUUUUGUGAUGUAGAAUGGUGAUUAGGGUUGCGGCAAGGUGUGUUUGGAUGGUGUGAAGGGGUGGUGACGAAUUUAGGCUUAAAACACAUAUAUAUAGGCACCACAAACCCUAAAGAAAUCAGGUUAGACAAUGGGCUAGGGUUUAGGUGCGGCUAGGGUUAGAGAUGGGCCUUCUAGAAUGCCUUGCAAGGCAAGGAAAUAGGUGUUCUAGAAGGCUAGGUGCGGCUGAUUAGUGGGCUAGGGUUAGGGUUUGUAGAUAGGGCUUCUAGAAAGCCCAAAACCAAGAAUAGAAACUCUCGAAAAUGGAAACCUCUAAGAAUAGAAACUUCCAACUUUAGAAACUUUGGAUGCCAAUUCCGACUUCUUUGUUCUUCACUUUCAUUUCUUCAUUUCUUAAGCUCCUUUGACCUUCAAACUCGUCCAUUCCUUGUGCUCCAUAAGCAUACACUCCAUUCCAGCUCAAUUUUGCUCUCAAAUGCUCCAAAUUGCAUCAUUUUAUGUAAUAUGCUCUUAAAACCUGAAGAACACAUGAAAACUAACUUAAAAGACUACUUUAAACUAAGAAAACAUAACUAAAAUGCAUAAGAACUAGCUAACUAAGGCGCAUAAAUAUGCUCCUAUCAAAUUCCCCCACACUUAGCUUUGCUAGUCCUCGAGCAAAAUAAAGAAUUAAAGAAAAACAAAACAAACAAAAACAAACAAAACAGAACCUAAACCUUCCAACAUUUGCCUCAGGGAUUUCCAAUGCACAUGACAUGUUAAAAAUCAUCAUUCCCACAGAUUUUAGUCAUCUUUACUCUUAAGCACAUACUUAAUCAUAGUCACCACGUACUAGUUCACAUUUAACCAAUUAAAACAUGAUUUUGAAUGUAGUAACAUGCCUUAGAGAAUUUGCUCAAUUCCUUACUAGAUAUGCACUCAAUUUUCACACAGAUUUUCUGACUACACACCCUAUACUAGUUAUAUGUGAGAAGAUUGAUGUAAAUAUGAAAACGAAUGCUCACAUAUAUGUUAUAACAAAGGAAAGCUUUCUCUGAAUUUAAUAAGCAUGUUUAGAUAUGAUCUCAUGAAAUGGAAUGCUACUACUUAGAUGCGAGAACCAGUGACACCAUAUGCUCAUACCAAUCCCAAACUCCACAAAUUGAAACACAUAACACUCAAGAUUAAAGUCAAGGGUUGUAACGGGGCUAGGGGAGUUGGCUAACAACGAAAGGAUAGGGAAAACAAACGUUCUUUAAGCAAUAGUAAGCAAAACAAUGAAAUCGUACUCAGAAUUCCCAUUAGCAUGCAGAAAUUAACUUUUAAACACAAAGGGAAGAUUCAACAACAAUUAGGGCCGAAUUCACUGUUUUGGACCCUUCCUUCAACAAACAACACUUAAGAACUCUUUUUCACAUUUUUUCAACUCCUUUUCAUUCUUUUCACAACUUUUUCUUUCUUUCUUUUUUUUUUUCUUUUUAUUUUCCACGAAAUUUUUCUUUUUCUUUUCUUUUUCGUGCCUCAUUCAAGACUUUGGCACACCCACAACAAAACUCACUUCCCCCACACUUGUUUUCUGCCAACAAUGACCAAAAGGAAUUCAUUUUGAAGUCAUUCAUUACUAUGCUUCAAGAACGAAGGUAUGGAUGGUCCUAAUCUAGGCUAGGUGAGGAUAAUGUGGGUUAACAAAGAACAUAGGCUAACACAAGGCUCAACGGGGUUAAAACCUACAAAAAUAAUUGCAUGGAAUGAAGGCUUUUUGGCUAUGGUGGUAACUACUAACUUCAUCUUGAAUAUGUGUUAUGUAAUUCAAUAACAUGUUUUGAAUGAAAUUGACAUGAGUUCUAGCAUUUGGAACUAAAUGAUGAAACGCCUUCUAAGUAAUAACCAAGCAAAGAAUAAUGAGAUCAUGCAACGACUUUAGAAAACAAGAAUGCACAGAUUUUUACUCUCCAAAUAAACGUUUAGGCUCAAGUCUCACAAGGUUGUAGCGUUUGUUUGAGUUACUUCCUUCAAGCAUGUUACAAAAACGGAUUUUUACUUUAUGAUUACAUGUGAAUUCAUAAGUUAUAACCACAACCAAGCAUAAACCAAAGAGUAAAUCAAACUUUUGUCCAUGUUCAUAACUCUCUUUAACAAUCAUGCAAUUACAAACCGAAUCCUCAUCAUUGUGUUGGAAGGUACCCUAAGACACAAACACACAAAAACAACUUUAAAACGACUCUUUUUGGGUUUUUAAAACAAAUUUUUCAAAUUUUUAUGGGAUUUUCGGAUUUUUGACUCAAAACACAUUAAAACACACCAAAACAGCUUAAAAAGGCUUAAAAACAGCAAGAAACAACAUUUGAAAUUAUGGGUGACAAAACCCUACGAAUUUGCAUCAAAACACUUUGGUUACCCCCCCCCACACUUAAACCAAACAUUGUCCUCAAUGUUUCAAGCAUAGACUCACACAAAAACACAUAAACAAACAAACCAACACUAACAAACUAAACAUGGCAGAAACGAAAGAAACAACAAAGAGAAGGGUUUAGAAACGCAAAUCUGGAAUUGGAGUGCUCUCUAGGUCUUCCUUUGUCAAAUGCAUGGGUUGCCUCCCACGAAGCGCUUUCUUUAACGUCUUCCAGCCGGACGGUACCUCCGUUUAAGCUUGACUAGGUUCCAUGGCAUGGAGGGGUACAUCCUCCAUGACAUGCUCCUUGAAAUACUCAUGCAUUGGGUCUAUGUAUGGCAGUGGAUAAUGAUGGUCCCAGAUUGUGGCAUUGCGCUUCCCAAGGUCAAAGUAAGAACUCCCAUAAUCAUGGAUUCGAUUUGGUACCUGCACUACAGAAGGCAAUAACCUAUUAGUGGAAACGGGAAUUGGAAUUAGAGGAGGAGGCUUACCAAUGCAUGUAGAUGAAGACUCAAAAGGGGCAGCAAAGGUGGUGCUCUCGGCCAGAUUUGGUAUUUUGGGUGUAAUGACAUGUUUCGUAUGCUCCACUCCAAUACCCUCUUCGAUGAUGCAUCUAGGGACAUCCUUCUUGAUUGGUGCGCAUGAAUGUUCCUUCCCCACAUUUUUAAUCACAUCUAUUGCAAAACAAGAACGAACAUCAUUAGGAUUCUUAACAUAUUCAGGAACUUUGAAUUUAAUCAAUUCAUCACCAAACUCCAUUGUUGACUCUCCCUUAGCCACAUCAAUCUUGGUUUGGGCUGUCUUCAUGAAGGGCCUCCCUAAUAGUAUCGGCAAUGGGGUAGAAUAGGGUGAAUCCUCCAUGUCAAGCACGUAAAAGUCCGCUGGAAAAAUCAAAUUGCCCACCUGCACCAAAAACAUCUUCCAAAACACCCUUUGGAUAUGCAUUAGAACGAUCGGCUAAUUGAAUAAUCACACCAUCGUUU
rnacentral:lncRNA from 1 species